CUAAUACCGUAUUCGCCCUACGGGGGAAAAAUUUGUUGCUAUUAGAUGAGCCUAUAUUAGAUUAGCUAGUUGGUGGAGUAAUAGCCUACCAAGGCAAUGAUCUAUAGCUGAUCUGAGAGGAUGAUCAGCCACACUGGAACUGACAUACGGUCCAGACUCCUACGGGAGGCAGCAGUGGGGAAGAUUGGACGAUGGGCGAAAGCCUGAUCCAGCCAUGCCGCAUGAGUGAAGAAGGCCUUUGGGUUGUAAAGCUCUUUUAGUGAGGAAGAUAAUGACGGUACUCACAGAAGAAGUCCUGGCUAACUCCGUGCCAGCAGCCGCGGUAAUACGGAGAGGGCUAGCGUUAUUCGGAAUUAUUGGGCGUAAAGGGCGCGUAGGCGGAUUAGUAAGUUAAAAGUGAAAUCCCAAGGCUCAACCUUGGAAUUGCUUUUAAAACUGCUAAUCUAGAGAUUGAAAGAGGAUAGAGGAAUUCCUAGUGUAGAGGUGAAAUUCGUAAAUAUUAGGAGGAACACCAGUGGCGAAGGCGUCUAUCUGGUUCAAAUCUGACGCUGAGGCGCGAAGGCGUGGGGAGCAAACAGGAUUAGAUACCCUGGUAGUCCACGCUGUAAACGAUGAAUGUUAAAUAUGGGAAGUUUUACUUUCUGUAUUACAGCUAACGCGUUAAACAUUCCGCCUGGGGACUACGGUCGCAAGAUUAAAACUCAAAGGAAUUGACGGGGACCCGCACAAGCGGUGGAGCAUGUGGUUUAAUUCGAUGCAACGCGAAAAACCUUACCACUCCUUGACAUGGAAAUUAUACCUAUUCGAAGGGAUAGGGUCGGUUCGGCCGGGUUUCACACAGGUGUUGCAUGGCUGUCGUC
rnacentral:rRNA from 1 species